GAGUUUGAUCAUGGCUCAGAUUGAACGCUGGCGGCAGGCCUAACACAUGCAAGUCGAACGGUAACAGGAAGCAGCUUGCUGCUUCGCUGACGAGUGGCGGACGGGUGAGUAAUGUCUGGGAAGCUGCCUGAUGGAGGGGGAUAACUACUGGAAACGGUAGCUAAUACCGCAUAAUGUCGCAAGACCAAAGAGGGGGACCUUCGGGCCUCUUGCCAUCGGAUGUGCCCAGAUGGGAUUAGCUUGUUGGUGGGGUAACGGCUCACCAAGGCGACGAUCCCUAGCUGGUCUGAGAGGAUGACCAGCCACACUGGAACUGAGACACGGUCCAGACUCCUACGGGAGGCAGCAGUGGGGAAUAUUGCACAAUGGGCGCAAGCCUGAUGCAGCCAUGCCGCGUGUAUGAAGAAGGCCUUCGGGUUGUAAAGUACUUUCAGCGGGGAGGAAGGGAGUAAAGUUAAUACCUUUGCUCAUUGACGUUACCCGCAGAAGAAGCACCGGCUAACUCCGUGCCAGCAGCCGCGGUAAUACGGAGGGUGCAAGCGUUAAUCGGAAUUACUGGGCGUAAAGCGCACGCAGGCGGUUUGUUAAGUCAGAUGUGAAAUCCCCGGGCUCAACCUGGGAACUGCAUCUGAUACUGGCAAGCUUGAGUCUCGUAGAGGGGGGUAGAAUUCCAGGUGUAGCGGUGAAAUGCGUAGAGAUCUGGAGGAAUACCGGUGGCGAAGGCGGCCCCCUGGACGAAGACUGACGCUCAGGUGCGAAAGCGUGGGGAGCAAACAGGAUUAGAUACCCAGGUAGUCCACGCCGUAAACGAUGUCGACUUGGAGGUUGUGCCCUUGAGGCGUGGCUUCCGGAGCUAACGCGUUAAGUCGACCGCCUGGGGAGUACGGCCGCAAGGUUAAAACUCAAAUGAAUUGACGGGGGCCCGCACAAGCGGUGGAGCAUGUGGUUUAAUUCGAUGCAACGCGAAGAACCUUACCUGGUCUUGACAUCCACGGAAGUUUUCAGAGAUGAGAAUGUGCCUUCGGGAACCGUGAGACAGGUGCUGCAUGGCUGUCGUCAGCUCGUGUUGUGAAAUGUUGGGUUAAGUCCCGCAACGAGCGCAACCCUUAUCCUUUGUUGCCAGCGGUCCGGCCGGGAACUCAAAGGAGACUGCCAGUGAUAAACUGGAGGAAGGUGGGGAUGACGUCAAGUCAUCAUGGCCCUUACGACCAGGGCUACACACGUGCUACAAUGGCGCAUACAAAGAGAAGCGACCUCGCGAGAGCAAGCGGACCUCAUAAAGUGCGUCGUAGUCCGGAUUGGAGUCUGCAACUCGACUCCAUGAAGUCGGAAUCGCUAGUAAUCGUGGAUCAGAAUGCCACGGUGAAUACGUUCCCGGGCCUUGUACACACCGCCCGUCACACCAUGGGAGUGGGUUGCAAAAGAAGUAGGUAGCUUAACCUUCGGGAGGGCGCUUACCACUUUGUGAUUCAUGACUGGGGUGAAGUCGUAACAAGGUA
rnacentral:rRNA from 1 species